UUGAGAUCCAUCGGAUUAAUGAAGAAGUAAUUUCGAUUUUAUAAAUGUUAUAAGAAAAUAUUUUUAUGGAUUCCAGUAUCCAUUAGAUGGAUAAAAAUAAAUUUUCUGCUUUGUGCGAGUGAAAAUUUAAAAAUAAAUCCAUUCGUUACACAGUUUAAUAAAAAAAUUGCACUUAUAGAACUAUCGGUGCAUAAAGAACCAUUGUUACUUUUAUCAAUUGGAAGAUCAAUUCAAAUAAAACGAAACUUUUAGUCGAACUGAAAAUUCAAGUUUUUCAUCUAUUGUUACAUCGAUAGAGAAGUAUUAUAUAUAAAACGUAGAAAAAGUUUCGAGAGAAUCGGAAACGUUUUAAGAUGAAUUAAUCUCGAACAAAUAUCGUUGAACGAAAGUUUUCAUAGAAUGGAAGUCUUGAUUGAAUUUGCAUUUCGAUUGCACAGAUUCUCAGUGUUUUUGUUAUUGUUGCUGCACAAACAACAUAUUAAACACGUAUUCGAUGAUGAAAUAACCGAGAAUCGACUGAUACGAGGAUCCUCGAAAUCGUAUGCUCUGCACUUUCUAAUUGAUUCGAGUCGAAUACGUGAUCUCAUUUCAUGCAUCCCUUGUACUUGGCAUAAUACGGUGAGUUUGCCGUAUCCAACCGCUAAUCACCAUAAUUUAAUAAGAUCGUAAAAGAUCGGAGAUUGAUUGACGGUAACGAUUAUCGAAUAAUGAAACAGACUUGAACGGUAGACGAAGUAAGUGAUUUAUGAUAAUAAAACGGAGCAACGACCUCGUGGAAAAUACAACAAUUGAUCGUAUAUCAAACUCGUGACAUCAAAAUGCAAACAAACGAUAUAAU